UCUAUGACGGGUAUCCGGCCUGAGAGGGUGAUCGGACACACUGGAACUGAGACACGGUCCAGACUCCUACGGGAGGCAGCAGUAGGGAAUAUUGCUCAAUGGGGGAAACCCUGAAGCAGCAACGCCGCGUGGAGGAUGAAGGUUUUAGGAUUGUAAACUCCUUUUGUUAGAGAAGAUUAUGACGGUAUCUUACGAAUAAGCACCGGCUAACUCCGUGCCAGCAGCCGCGGUAAUACGGAGGGUGCAAGCGUUACUCGGAAUCACUGGGCGUAAAGAGCGCGUAGGCGGGAUAGUAAGUCAGAUGUGAAAUCCUGUGGCUUAACUAUAGAACUGCAUUUGAAACUACUUUUCUAGAGUGUGGGAGAGGUAGGUGGAAUA
rnacentral:rRNA from 1 species